rnacentral:rRNA from 1 species
UACGUAAAAUGCAAGCGUUGCUCGGAAUUACUGGGCGUAAAGGGCGCGUAGGCGGAAUGGCAAGUCGGUCGUGAAAUCCUUCGGCUCAACCGAAGAACGUCGAUCGAAACUGCCGUUCUUGAGGAUUGCAGAGGAGACUGGAAUUCCCGGUGUAGCGGUGAAAUGUGUAGAGAUCGGGAGGAACACCGGUGGCGAAGGCGGGUCUCUGGGCAAUUCCUGACGCUGAGGCGCGAAAGCGUGGGGAGCAAACGGG